rnacentral:rRNA from 1 species
CGGCGUGCUUCAAUACAUGCAAGUCGAACGAUAAGGUCUCUUCGGAGAUACAUAAGUGGCGGACGGUGAGUAAUAUGUAGAGAAUCUGCCCUAGAGAGUGGGACAACAGUUGAAACGACUGCUAAUACCGCAUAUGAGCAUAGUUGAGAUACUAUCUUGAAAACUCCGGUGCUCUAGGAUGAGUCUGCAUCUGAUUAGCUAGUUGGGGGUGUAAUGGACCACCAAGGCGACGAUCAGUAGCUGGUUUGAGAGGAUGAUCAGCCACAAUGGGACUGAGACACGGCCCAUACUCCUACGGGAGGUAGCAGUAGGGAAUUUUGCGCAAUGGGGGAAACCCUGACGCCAGCAACGCCGCGUGACCGAUGAAGCCCUUCGGGGUGUAAAGGUCUGUCAGUGGGGACGAAUAAUGACGGUACCCACAGAGGAAGCAUCGGCUAACUCCGUGCCAGCAGCCGC